GUCAUGUUUUUGCAAAAUUCAGUGUUUCCACACAUUGAACUGCAAUGAUGGUUGAUCGAUUUUUUUAAUCGUACAGUUUGAUUUGAUUGAGAACUUGCCUCAGACAGAUUGAUCUGAUGGGAUAGGAGGAAUAGAAAUUGAUUAAUCGUUACACCCCUUGUUAAGAGUAUCCAGGAUGAGAGGUUGCUAAUUCACUCGUGUACACUUUCUGGAGAAAAACAAAUAUUCUGAAAAUAUAUUAAAUUUGAGCUUAAACAAUUUAUUCCUUCACUGUAUUUUAUUCCUUAAACAACUUGUGUUUCCUCCUCAGUUCUGCUCAUCUCUUUGGUUGAUCAAGGACAAACCCAAGCGUUACCUCAGAACACCACUCUUGCAAUGGAACAAGUAACAACUGAAGAACCUCCUUCUACAGACAACAACUCAACUUGGAG
rnacentral:lncRNA from 1 species